UCUUGUAAUCUCAGGCAACAUUAAGAGAAGUCCAACAUCCAGAACAAGGGAGAUGAUUGUUCCUCUCUAAUCUCCAGGUGAAACCACAUUUGGCAUAUUGUCUUCUAUUCUGACAAGCUGGAAAGUGUGCAGAGGAGAGCAACUAAAGUGAUCUCUACAUUCUAAUCCAUCCUCCAUAAAACAUCCAAAGUGAGCUUCAUAAAAUGCAGUUCUGACCAGGUCUCUUCCAAAUAAAGGAAAGGAAAAGGGCCUUAAUGACCAACCGACACCUGAAAAAGUCUCUACUACAACAUAAGGGACAAAUGAAAAAAUGGACAUCCAGCCUCUAUUUGAAGGCUACUCUAUGGAGUCAAAGAGUCUGGAGCUGCAACGGACCUUAGACAUCAUCUAGUUUAUUCUUCUUCAAUUUACAGAGGAGGACACUGAGGCCCAGAGAGACAUACUCAUUUGCCUAAGGUCACAAAGAAAGCAACAAAUAACACUGUCAGGAUUUGAGCACAGUUCCCAUUGGGUGCCUCAUUGUAGCUUGGGUGUGACACUGACUUCUUGGGGUCAGUAUGAUAGCAAUAUGUAGCUAAAUGUCUAAAUGGCCCCUCCAAGGUGGAAAGGAUUUGAUCAUGGAUCCACUCAUGGACUAUGAGUCCUUUAGGAGAAGAACAGCCUAAGUUUGGAGAGAAUAACUCCUGGAAGG